AAACUAAAAUUAUUUUAAUUAUGUGUUUUUAAUUAUUUUUUAAUUAGUCGAAGUAGACCCGAAGCCAAGUGAUCUAAUCUUGAGCAGGCUGAAGUUGGCAACGACGGAAGGCCGAACUCGUGUAUGUUGCAAAAUACUGAGAUGACUUAAGAUUAGGGGUGAAAGGCUAAUCAAACUUGGUUAUAGCUGGUUUUCGGCGAAAUUUAUUCAGGUAAAGAGCCAAUUUUUUGUUCAAUUAGGGUAGAGUAAAGUUUCAUGUAGGGGGGUUUUCUUACCUCAUGAACUAAAUCUUUGAAUCUAAUUUGAAUGGUUUUGGUAUUCAGAAAGCGGGUGCGAAGGUCCGUUUUCGAGAGGGAAAUAGCCCAGACUAAUAGCUAAAAUCUUUAAAUAUUAGUUAGUGUCAUAUAAGCAAUUUUAUUUUGAAGAUAACUAAGAGGUGGGCUUGGAAACAGCCGUCCUAUAAUGAAAGCGUAACAGCUCAAUAGUUGAUGAAUUUAAAUUUGCGACAAUGUACGAGACUUAACUAAAUUUUAUUGAAGCUUUAGGAUUUAUUUCGGUAGCCGAAAUUUCUUUAUUUUAUAGAAUUAUAAUGCUGGCAUGAGUAACUAAAAAGAUUUUAUUCUUCGCCGUAAACUUAAGGUUUCUUUGUUAAGGAUCGACCUACAAAGGUUAAUCAGUCCCUAAGAUUUUUCUGAGAUGAUUUUCGAUGGGUUAAGGGGUUUAUAAUCCUGUAUUAAAUAAUCGUAUUUAAGUAGCGUUUAUUUUCAAACUGUACUAAAUCCGACACCGGUGAGUUGGCAUAAGUGUGCCAAGGCGUUCGAGUUAAUGAUGCUGAAGGAACUCGGCAAAAUUUCUCCGUAACUUCGGGAUAAGGAGGGCCAACUAGAUAAUUAAGUUGGUAUCAUGAAAUCGGGAGUAGCGACUGUUUAUUAAAAACACAGGACUCUGCAAAAUCGAAAGAUUAGGUAAAGGGUCUGAAGCCUGCCCAGUGCCGGUAAGUUAAAAAAUUUGGUUUUUUGCUAAAUUUAUAAGCUUCGGUAAACGGCAGCUGUAACUCUGACGGUUCUAAGGUAGCGAAAUCCCUUGUCGGGUAAGUUCCGACCUGCAUGAACGGUAUAACGACUGCUCCGCUGUCUCCAGCAUUACCUCGGUGAAUUU
rnacentral:ncRNA from 1 species